rfam:Oryza glumipatula chromosome 1, whole genome shotgun sequence.
CCGCAGCGCUGCCACAGAUAGGACGCCAUAACUUUGAUCAUCCGUCUUAUUUAAAUAAAUUUUAUGAGAUAAUAAAAUAUAAAUAGUAUUUUACUCGUGACUUAUGUUUUUAAAUUUUUUAAAAAAAUUUAAAUAAGACGAACGGUGAAAGUUGAACGCGAAAACUAUGGUUGCAAUUAAA